ACCGCUGGGGCAGGGUGGAAAAGAUGGGGUGAGGGAUCAGUAGAAAGAUGGCAGAGAGAAGAAGGAGAUGGGCAGGCUGCGUCGCCAUCCCCACCUUCCCACAGGCCUUGGCCUGAACUUCCUCAGGCAUGGGGAAGUCAUAAUCUUAUGAUGUAGUCUCCCUAUUAGAGCAACUGCCUGCUGUCGGGAGAGAGAAUGGCCAAUUCUAGUGCUUUCUGUGUGCUUCAAGAUAAGAAAAACUGUUUAUUUUUCUCUGAGUUAUCAGCCAGGAGAGGUGUGUGGCCAGUCAACUCGAGGACCUCACUGGCUUUGGACUGUGAGAACUCGGGGAGAGCUUUGCGUGAGACGUGUGUGGUGGACAACUAGCAAACCUUUCUUAUUCUAUCCCUGUCUUAGCACUUAGAUAUUUGGGCACAAUAGUGCAUAUCGAGCUACUUUCCAAUGAGGUUUGUAGAUGCCCCGGGGCUGCUAGGCAUGGGGACAACCCAGGCCCAUUCUUGUUGUUCAGUGUAAAUGCUAGUUGGAUUGAGGGAAUGGAAAUCAUGAAGCUAUGGGGGUGGGGAUUUCUCCUAGGACCAUGUCAAGAACAGGUGACCUGUUAGGGUUGUUUCACAAGGCCCCCAGCCCUCAGAGCUGACCACCUCCCCCAUCUGAUCCCAGAGAGCUUCAGGAUCCGUGUCCCUCAGAGGGAGAUACCUGUGAGCACAUCACAGUCCUUGGGCCGGAUGAAGCCCCGCUGGAUGAGGGAGCCUAUGGGCACCUCCCAGCCCGCAGGGCUGCCCAAGCCUGGGUGGCAGGAACGCUUGCUGCGAAGCUCAUCCAGGGUGAAGGAGUAGGAGCUGUCCCGCCUCACCACAGCCACCACAAAGUAGGAAUUACUCCUGUCCUCCUCUGCAGGGAGAUGAACAUCUUAAAAGGGACCCCUUAUCAGAGCUCAAUUCAUGCCUCAAGUGUCCCCUCCUAUUUGUUUGAGAGCUGUGCUGUCUCAUCUUGGGGCUGCGUAAGCCCAGGCUGAUGUCCCGGGGUCUCCAGGGGUCAGCUGGUGUCUCCACUCUUCACCUGGAACACCCCAGGAGCCCUCACCCAUGGCCUUCCUCACACCCAGUUGCUAUUUUUUUUUUUUUCUGUGAGAGGAAAGCAGGCACAGCUGAGACCUGCAGACACAUUCUCAAAGCCCGGAGAUUUCUCAUAGCCAAGCAGAAGGGACUAAAUGUCCUAAGGUCUAUCCGUAAUAGGACAAAGUCAAGCCCAAACCACUGAGGUGUGAAUGAGUUCACAAGCAGAGGGCUCCACACAUCAUGUCAGGGAGAGGGCAAGGUCACCCUUGCAAACUGUGGGGUGGUCUCUGUGUAUAGCCUGGGUUGGCUAGUAAGAAGGGCUUUUAGAGUUGUUAAGGAGUUUGAAAGUUAGAAGACUAUGACAGGGCUCUGCAAAGACUAGAACAAUUCCUUGCCCCUGUCCAGAAAGUCUGUAGACGUUUUGAGUUAUGCAAAUUGCACAGAUGGGUAACUAAGGCCUGGGGUGGGAGGGGCUGGCUUCUCAACAGAAGAGGCCUGGGGUGGGAGGGACUGGCUUCUCACCAGGAGGCUGGCAGAGUGCUCCAGACAGGCACUGAAGCCCAGUUGGAAGUUCUUAGACAGCUUUAGAGUUACAAAAGAAUCAGCUACCAGGCAGGGACAGGUAUACGCACCAGCAUACAGCUCCCCAGCCGCCGGAACCAGGCCAUAUGCCUUUCCUGCCCUGUAAAUGUCUUCGCCCCUCAGAGUCACAGCAUCGAUGUGCCCAGCCUGCAGGGAACAGAGGGAGGCCCAAUAUGGCAGGAAUUCCUGAAGGUGGCAGGGCUCAGCCCUUAUUGGGGAAAAAAGUGAGCCCAGCCUCUCUUCCUUUGGGAAUCACUCCAGUUGGGAGAACUCCAUUCUGUCCCUACCCUAUCCCUUUCUGCAUUUGUGAAGAUGCCAGGCACAGCAGUUGCUGAAAGGCUAAGGGCAGCCAAUACAGGUGGGGGCACCCAGCUCCCAGCAGCUUCUCCAGCUUUUCAAGCAUGGCUGCUGAGAUUUUCCUACAUCCCUCCUUUGCACAGCACCGUUCUUGCCCUACUGUGUAGUCCCCAGGCCUGCGGUCUAUCAGCACUCUUCUGUGGGUAGCACACUUCAGGGACAAAACACAGCUGCAAUGGUGGACUGGCCCAGAGAUUAAAAGAUGACAGCCCUGGGGCCUCUGGAUUCUCAGGAACAGACUGUACGAAGAAAAGGUGGCAGGCAACUCUUCUCUCAGAACACACUGGACCUCUCCCCCUCCAGGUCACCUACACCCCACCCCACUUGCUCAUUCUAAAGCUGUUUGACCCUAGCCUGGGGGUUGUGUGGUAAUAAAGCCACAAGUAUGACAAACCACAAGAAAGGGGCCAGACUGGGGAAAGAGGGGUCCAGGCGCCCUGAGGGCACCCUGUAGCUGUGGUGUGGGCAACAGGUAGAGGCAUUUGUCCCAGUGGGUGCAUCUCUAAGGCUUUCUCCUCACUCAGAGAGGCUUUCUGACACCUUCUGUGAUACCAGUGAGGACACAGAGGCUAAACCCGUAGACCCAGUCCCAGUCACUGUGUAAUUCAGUGAGAGAAGUGGGCGCCCUACUGGACACCAUCUGCAGAGCCUGGGAUGCCGGAACUGAGGCUUGCUGGGCCUCUUGCUGGGUUUCUGAGGGUGGCUGGGAAGGCUCUGCUCCUCUCUCCACAGGUCUGGGUGCCUCCUGUCGAUCGUGUGAAGGCUGUGCAAGGUGGCAUUCAGAAAGAGCUACCCAGAGAUAGACCAGUCUGCUGGGCAUCAGGGAAUAGACACCCUCUCCUCCCAGCCUCCCUUUGCCAGGAGAAAGAACUGAAUGGGACGGAGCAAAGGCUAGAGUUUUCCUCGUGGGUUAGUGGGUGUCUUAGCAAGUGCUCGGGGAAAAGACCAAAAUCAAACGCAGUGAAAAGUAUUCUUUCUAUCCCUUCAUACGUAGGACUCAUAGUCUUCCUAGAUUCCUCUUAAAUUCCUAUUUUGUGCAGUAGAUCUUCAAACACAGAUCUAUUUCUAAGUGUGAGUGGCCAUGAGAAACGUCUAGCAAAUGGUGAUCCCCCAUUCGCACCAUGCAUGGGGGAAACAGGUACAGAAGGGAGAAGGGACUUUCUUGGACCGAAGGUCUGUUCUCAGCCAGCUAUGGUCUUUCCUCCUGCCUUCCUCUGUGAGUUUGCCAUAGGAACCUCUCCAGCCCUGACCACAGAGGCAUGAGAGGUGGGGAUUAUACAAGGUGCCCCCUCCCCAGCCCACAGCAGUGUACCUGGAUCUGCUGCAUGCAGUGCUCAGGGGACUCGGCUGACACACACUGGAUCUCUGGCUUCAGACUCUGGCGGCUGAAGGCCACAGCCAUAUCGCCACACUUCUGGAUCUCGGGCACCGACAACACACACCAGCGCAGGCUUUGGAGCUGAACAUCUGGAAGCUGCUGUCUUCAUGGCUGAACAGAAGCUGCACAUCAAGGACCGAGCCCUUUUGAACCUUGGUCCUGAGCCCUCACCCCGAUGCCCCAGGGUUAUUUAGAGCACAACUUUCCGCCUCACCUGGCCUUCGUUGAGCAGCCGGAAUAUGAGGCCUCCGUCCAUGUCAUCCCUGACCACCACAGCAUGAGCAGGCACCUUGGCCAAGUGGCAUCGUCUCCACUCAGUAAUGUCAGCCCGGCUGCCGUCCCUGCAGAGUAGCUGGAAGUCCUGUGACAUCAGGGCCUUGCCCCAGGAAGGCAGGGUUUUCCCUGGAAGGUAGGAACUGGGGAGUCAGCUCCUGCAUUCAUAGGGGUGGUGGUGGAAGGGGUCUGGAGGAGGCUGGGUAUUUUGGUGGUGGGGACCUAGCACUCAUUCGGGGAGCUGUACACCCCGCCUUUUCUGUAUACGUUCUCCCUUUCUCCAGUUUAUGUUAAGGUGGAUUUGAGGGAGUGUGCCAUAAUACAGCCCACAAAUAUGGCUACCUAAGGAUGGUAAGAGUAAGACUAGAGCUCCUUUGGAUGAGAGAGUUAAAUGUAGCAAAGAGGCAGGUUGUAGGGGUAGGGGGCCAGGGGCAGGGAUCCAGGUUCGGGGGAGAGGGUGCAUGGUGCAGGGGCAAGGGGUAGGUGUAGGUGUAGAGGAGAGGGUGCAUGGUACAGGGUCAGGGUGCAGAAGGCACAGCAAAUCACCUCUGACAGACUCUCCUCAGAGCUGUGGCCCCAAGGGAGAAGGGUAAUCCCCCAAACUUUGCCCAAAGCUCCAAAGGUUACUAUUUUGGUUUAUUCUCCCUGAUGGUCAUUUUUCUAACCCACUCAUGCUACAGUGUUGAUUGAAAAACAAGGUAGAAUAUAAAUUUUACAUCUAUCAUGUGUGUGGGUAUUUAGCAUGUGUGUAUGUCUAUGUGUCACAUGUGUACCAGGUACCCACGGAGGCCAGAAAAGGGCAUCAGAUCCCUGGAAGCAGAGUUAUAGAUCAACACGAGGCACCAUGUGGGUGCUGGGAGUUAAACCCAGGUUCUCUGGAAGAGCAGUGAUCUCUACGGUCCCUGAGACUCACUAUGUAGCCUCGCUUGGUCUGGAUCUUGCUAUGUAGACCAAGCUGGGCUAUAGUUCCUGAGUGAUGGAUUGAAGGCCUGCAUCAGCCUGUCUGGCUUGGUUUCCUUCUUCUUUCUUUUUUGAAUGCAGAAGUGCUGAGUGUUGGACAGUGUUUACAUAAUUGAACCUGGCAUGUCUUUGGCCAAUUAUUUAAAACACAAA